GUCCACGCCCUAAACGAUGUCUACUAGUUGUUGGGAGAGUAAAAUCUCUUAGUAACGCAGCUAACGCGUGAAGUAGACCGCCUGGGGAGUACGGUCGCAAGAUUAAAACUCAAAGGAAUUGACGGGGCCCGCACAAGCGGUGGAUUAUGUGGAUUAAUUCGAUGCAACGCGAAAAACCUUACCUGGCCUUGACAUGCUACUAACGAAGCAGAGAUGCAUUAGGUGCCCGAAAGGGAAAGUAGACACAGGUGCUGCGGAUGGCUGUCGU
rnacentral:rRNA from 1 species